ACAGUCUCUGCAGACUCAACAGUUCUAUGGGUUACAACGAUCCCAUCCGGUCUGCUGAUAGUAGGCGUCAUUACCGCUUGUGUGUGUCGAAGAUGGAGACUAAACAAGAAAACUCUGAGUACCGAUCAAAAUAACCAACAACAGCCAUCGAAUGUUCCGCAGGAACGUCAUGACGACAUUACAGAGCGCGGGGUGGCGAAAAUGAACAAGCCUCUCCAUAUGACAGAAACGCAUCUGCACACUGGGAUGCGGGAAUCCAUCUCCAUGUCCAAUAAUCCAUCUUAUGCUUAUGAUCAAAUAUCUGAGAGGGACGCUCCAGCCGAGACACACUUUGCAGUGGUCGAAAAACAAGAUCAUUCCGGCCAAGGGGUGAUACGAUCAGCAGUGGCCAAAAAACUGGAUAAUGAAGGUCAAGGGGAGACAAACUAUGAAAACUAUGACGUCGAACUGUUUGAAAACGACGAUAGAGGUGCAGUACAUACUAAAUCCGAUAUCAACGUGUAUAGUUAUGUGGUCAAGCAAUGUAUUUAAAACGUUUUAAAAAAGGCAUAGGUAUGUUUUCGGUUAAGCUUCAACACCUUUAGUGUGCGAUGUUCAAUUCCUGAACGCCAAAAUAUUCUAAAGGCCACACAUUUAGUUAGUUAUUUAUUGCGAAGUGACGAAAUUUUCAAAAUUAUUGGGGGCGUAAAUCCUCACAAAGUACUACUUUUUUAUUUUAAUAACUUGAAAUAAAGUCUUAUAGCAUAUCUUGUAACUGUUUACCAUAGUUUAUUUUAAACAAUAUAUGAUAGAUAGCAGAUUAUGCUACUAGUACAGUUACUAGUAACAAAUUCACAAUAGAAAUACAUGUAGGUACUUACUUCUUACUUACCUCUUAAUCCCAUUGGCUAUGCCUCCGCCUCUUCCUCAGUCGUACAGAUCCAAUGUGACUAUAACACAAUGUCUUGAGGGUACAUAUAGUCGACUUCAGAACGCUCAUCCGACACACAUUUUCGACAGUUAUACAUUUUAAGGAGCAUGAAUGAAUUUAUUUUGCGAAAACCACAUCUGCGUUUUCCAUUUUGUGACGGUGUCCCUCUAAAGGUGUUCUGUUUGUCAAAGCCAGUACCGCAUUUUAUUAGGCUAAUGUUUGCUUUGUUUCUGCUUUUGUUAAGACGACUCAAGCCACGAAGGUCAUAGUGGUUAUGCCUAUUUUUAAUUAAACAUGGCGCUGGAACGUUGAUAUGUUAACCCAAUUACUUCACAUUAAUGACAAAAAAGUACAAAAUUAUCCGUAUUAAACGAUACAAAUAUGAAAGUAUAAUCGGAUCAUUAAAUGGAAAGAAAUUGCGCUUGCCUCCGGAGGAAUAACGUGAAUUUUUUUCACAAUUAAUUGAGACAAUUUACUUAUUUUAACUCGUGUGUACGUAUGUUUUCAUUUCGUGAGUAAAUCCCGGCCGCUCGUUUAUUUUAUUUGGUAUCGUAAAUGUGUUGUUUUUUUUGCGGUCAAAGGUUAGUCGUUGUCAUUUUUUUCAAUCCUAUGCUUUUAAAAUACCCAUUUAAUUUUACCAAAACACGUUGAUAAAUCAUGAAUGUUUGUUGUCUAAGGAUGUUACGUCAUUUGAUGAUAACGACCUGUUGACGAUCUUUCAUCGAAAAAGCAUUAAGCCUUUUGUCAAUUAAAAAUAAGAUGCAAACGAAAACACUGAUAAUCUUAUCUUACACAUGGUUGAAGUUCACCCACAUUUUUAAUGUUUGUACUUCACAAGAAUCCAACCGAAGCAUGCGAUUAAACAUUGAUACGUAUUCAAUACAACAAUUGUUAAGUGCAAUGUUAUUCAAUACAAUUGUUUAAGAAAAUAAUGUUUAACACGUUUAAGUGUAAUAUUAUAUUAUAACACAUUUAAUAAAAUAUUUAUUAGAUUGUUUUGAUUUCAUGUAAAAUUAUUUUACUUUUAGUUACAUUUUAUGUAUAGUAGUAGUAAUUAUGUAAUUCAUCAUUAUACUAUAGCUUAGUUUAAUAAGUAAUAAUUAUAUUAUGUAUGAAAGAAGUAUGUUGUUAGAAUGACUUUAUGUUUCUUAUGCUCCCCUUCGAAGAAGAGGGGGUAUAUUGCUUUGCACAUGUCGGUUUGUCGGUCGGUCUGUCGGUGGGUCUGUCGGUCGGCCGUCCACCAGGUGGUUUCCGGAUGAUAACUCAAGAACGCUUGGGGCUAGGAUCAUGAAACUUCAUAGGUACAUUGAUAAUGACUCGCAGAUGACCCCUAUUGAUUUUCAGAUCACUAGGUCAAAGGUCAAGGUCACGGUGACCCGAAAUAGUAAAAUGGUUUUCGGAUGAUAACUUAAGAACGCUUAUGCCUAGGAUCAUGAAACUUGAUAGGUAGAUUGAUAAUGACUCGCAGUUGACCCCUAUUGAUUUUCAGGUCACUAAGUCAAAGGUCAAGGUCACAGUGAUCCGAAAUAGUAAAAUGGUUUUCGGAUGAUAACUCAAGAACGCUUAGGCCUAGGACUAUGAAACUUGAUAGGUAGAUUGAUCAUGACUCUCAGAUGACCUCUAUUGAUUUUCAGGUCACUAGCUCAAAGGUCAAGGUCACAGUGACCCGAAAUAGUAAAAUGGUUUCCGGAUGAUAACUCAAGAACGCUUAUGCCAAGGAUCAUGAAACUUCGUAGGUAGAUUGAUAAUGGCUGGCAGAUGAUCCCUAUUGAUUUUCAGAUCACUAGGUCAAAGGUCAAGGUCACGGUGAUCCGAAAUAGUAAAAUGGUUUCCGGAUGAUAACUCAAGAACGCUUAUGCCUAGGAUCAUGAAACUUCAUAUGUACAUUGAUAAUGACUCGCAGAUGACCCCUAUUGAUUUUCAGGUCACUAGGUCAAAGGUCAAGGUCACGGUGAUCCGAAGUAGUAAAAUGGUUUCCGGAUGAUAACUCAAGAACGCUUAUUCCUAGGAUCAUGAAACUUAAUGGGUAGAUUGAUCAUGACUCGCAGAUGACCCCUAUUGAUGUUCAGGUCACUAGGUCAAAGGUCAAAGUCACGGUGACCCGAAAUAGUAAAAUGGUUUCCAGAUGAUAACUCAAGAACGCUUAUGGCUAGGAUCAUGAAAAUUCAUAGGUACAUUGAUCAUGACUGGCAGAUGACCCCUAUUGAUUUUCAGGUCACUAGGUCGAGGUCACAGUGACAAAAAACAUAUUCACACAAUGGCUGUCACUACGACGGAGAGUCCAUAUGGGGGGUAUGCAUAUUUUACAAACAGCCCUUGUUUAUUUGUUAAAUUAUCGUCUAGAAAUAGAAAUCACCGAGGAUCCAAUGGCAAAGUAUUGACCAGCACAGCACCCCCAAUUGUAUAUGGACCGUACCCUUAAGGGCUGCCUGAAUGGUCACCAUAGUGCCAACGGACCCUAAGUGGGGUUUACAUGAAUUGAUUUGGUCGACUUAUAUAUUCACAUGCAUGUUCGCAUCAUACAACUUUGCACUGUCAACUGUUAUUAUGUGUUAUUUGUUUAUUUUUAGACUCAAUUCAAUUAGUUGCUUACUGUGUGUGUGGGUGUGUGUUGUUGCUUGAAGUUAAUUAGCUUUAUUGUUGUUUAUUUAAUAUUCAUUCUCUUAUGUUGUUAUUGCCUUUUUUGUUAAAUUCACUACUCUUUGAUAUAUUAUUUUAAAUAUCCUACUCUUUAAGCACACAUACAGCCAAAAAUGUAUAUGAAAUGUUUCAUGGUGAUUUUUUACUUAGUGUUCAAGUAUGUAAUAAUUGUUUUGACUAUAUUUACAAUUAAAGACGAGCGGGAAGGAACUGUUUUCUUGAUAUUAUUUCUGGCUUUUCAUAAUACCUAUCUAUUUGUACAUUAGACUAGUUUCACGAUUUUUAAAAUGGACCAAUUGUACUAUAUUAAGUACUUUUAAAUGAUUAAAAAAUGGGUGACAUUCAAAAAUGGGACAUAAUAUGGGUACAUCUGUUAAUAAUGUUUUCGGAAAUACCAUCGCAUUCAGGUUCCAGACAAAUUGUCUCGAGCACAUCUGCAACAUGGCUUUAAAUAACAAAAUAAUGACUUAUUAAAGCUGUCCGACCUUUAAAUAAAAAAGUUUAAAUGGUAUCACCAUAAAACUGUUGGCAAUAAUUUGAGGUUUAUGCGAAGUAGGAUAACCAAACAUAUCGCAUGAAGUAGUUAUGAAUAUAGCCCUUGAAUUAUAACAACUGCCAAAUUAAACUUGUCGCUCUCUUACUGAAAUAGAAUUUAUCCCAUAAUCAUAAAACUAAGAGGCAAUGUUGUGGGCAUAAUAGAUCGACCAAGUUCGAAAAAAAAGCAAGAUCGCUUGAAGCACGUCUGAAUAAAGAUUUUAUUUUCAAAAAAAAAGAAAACGAAAUCUUAUCCGCCCCUUUCUCAAAAAGUUAAAAUCGUUUUAUCAUUAAACUUGGUAAUAAGGUUUUAUGGGCAUAAAAUCUCAAUUACGCUUGAUUACCAGAGAGAUCGCCUGAUGCGAAUCUCAAAUAUGGCCCUUCAAUCAUAAAAAAAAUGUCCAAAUUAACAUUUCUCCGUCAAUCAACACAAAUGGUUUUAAUCGUAACGUUAUCAAACGUAGUGGAAAUGUGGGUGGACUAAUAUCAACCAAGUACAAUUAUCAGCAAUUACGCCGGUAGCAUUUCGCGCUGGAAUACUGUCUUGUUCAAUCGGUCUUUGCAUUGUCUUCUUCGAAUCUUCUUCUUCAUUGUCUUCCGACAAAAUCAACCGUUCGUUUUCUUUUUUUUCGGUUUUUCAUGAAACACGUUUGAUAAUAAUUAAUAAUUUAAGACAUAACCUUCUUUAUUCUGUUGGAUAUAGAUUUGGUAGUAAUAUUCUAAUCAUGUCAGCAAUGUGAUAGGCCUCCAGUUGUUAUUUGUUUGUAGGUUUUUGUCACGACUUUAGCAUUGAAGAAAUACUCCCUUGUCUUUGAAUUUGCGUAUGAAUAGCAUGGUCAACGAGUAGUAAAAUCAGUCAAUUAGGUAGUUUUAAAUGUUUUGCAUUUCUUUCAGCGCUUAUGUUUUUUUUUUCAUAUUCUGUUAUGUUUCUUCACCUUCCACGCUU